AAAUUUGGGCUUCCAGUUUGGGCUACAGUUUGGGCUAGCUUGUGUUACAAUUGUCAAUUGGGGAAUUUGGUUACGAGAAGUUUUGAGAAAAAAAACGAAAUUUCUCUGGUGAAUUUAUUUGACAAUUUUAAGAAGUUAAAAAGUGUUUACUUUCUACGGGCUGCAAGUUUUUGGGGUCUUGCCCGUAGCUUUUGUAAAGUUUGGAUUGCACUCUCAUGUUUUAACUUAAUAUAAAUAUCUCCUGCGUUGCGUUAAAAUAAAAUAAAAAGUGUUUGAUUAAGGUUUGGAAGAUAGUGAUUAUGUUUUGUUCAUCUUAGGAUUUUUUGUGAUUUACCACCUAAAAAACAAAAUUUGUGUUUUACCACCUUAAAAUCUCAAAAUUUUAAAUUACCACCUAAGGUUCUUGCUGCUCCUUCUUGCUGCUCCUUCUUGCUUCUUCCAAUCUUCAUGUAAAUCACAAAUUUUCAUCACAAAACUUGAAAUUGAUUGAGGGGUUUCAUUAAUUUUUAAUUUUCGAGCAAUUUGGUGGGCGAAAGAAGAAGAAUCAAGGUACAAUUAGGAUCGAGCUAUGUCUACAUUGAAUUUUUCACCUUCAAAAGAGAAAAAAUGUGGCUGUUGAUUCGUAUUAUCCAUUACAUUGCAUAAUUCACACCAAAUAUGUGGCUUUUGUGCGUUUGUGUGGUGAAAUACAGAAAUUGGUGGUGAUGAAUUGAAGAGCAGUAAAGAGAAAGAAUGAAAGGGAGAGCAGCAUUAAAGAUGAGGUAUAAUUGCAGUAAUGAAGAAGAACGUAGGAACGCAGUUAGGGCUAGGUAGAAUUGCAGUAAAGAGAAAGAACGUAGGAACUAGGAACGCAGUUAGGGCUAAUAGUUUGGAGGGAAAUUUAAUUGAUGGCCCCCGCUUGACGGAAAUGUUAACGGAUCUGUUAAGAGGUGGUGAAAAACAAAAACAAAAAAAAAUUUAGGUGGUAAUUUAAAUUUUUGAGAUUUUAAGGUGGUAAAACACAAAUUUUGUUUUUUUAA